GAAUUGCGAUAAGUAAUGUGAAUUGCAGAUUUCCAGUGAAUCAUCGAAUCUUUGAACGCACCUUGCGCUCCUUGGUAUUCUGAGGAGCAUGCCUGUUUGAGUGUCAUCGAAUUCUCAACCAUCUCUUGAUUGAUUUCAAGAUUUUGGCUUGGAGUUGGGACUUGCUGGCACCCUUGUCAGCUCUCCUGAAAUUCAUUAGCAAUGGCAGCUUGCUAGUCUUUUGACGUGCAUGGCCUUUUGACGUGAUAAUGAUCGUCAUGGCUGGAGCGUCAAUGCUAUUUAGAUUAUGCAUGAAUGGCCCAUGGCUUAUAAUAUUAUAUUAGCAUCACUUGUCUUGAAAGCAAUGCCAAGCUUUAGUUACUAGUCAGUUCACAAAGCUGGCGAAAGCAGAGCAAGGUUUUGUCUGGACUUGGACUUGUGUUUCUAAUUCUAUUCUAAACUUGACCUCAAAUCAGGCAGGACUACCCGCUGAACUUAA
rnacentral:rRNA from 1 species